rnacentral:rRNA from 1 species
AUGUCACUGCUAACGUCUAGACAUCUAUCGCUGCAAUUUUGGGUAGAUGUUUACACAUGCAUUGAGCAAAACAGACUAAACUGGAUCAGGAAUAAUCGAGGGAAGUUACGAACUGAACUUUAUAGUGGACUGCAAGACGCGAUUGAGCGAGGGGACACCAGAACAGAGCAGGUUGGAAAGAGGAUAAUUGUACCUUCAUCUUUUACAGGAGGCAGAAGAUACAAGGCACAGAACUUGCAAGACGCUUUUGCAAUAUGCCGUUGGGCUGGAUAUCCAGACCUGUUUAUAACAUUCACAUGCAAUGCAAAGUGGCCCGAGAUCCAAUACAUGCUAGAUGAAGCAGGAGGAGGCCUAAAUCCAGCUGACCGGCCAGAUAUUGUUGAUCGAGUAUUCAUGAUAAAACUGAAGGAGUUGAUGAGAGACAUCAUUGUGAAGAAACACUUUGGAGAAACAAUAGCAAGUAAGAUCAGUCGACUACUCAUCGCAACUAAUAGCAUCUAA